GCUCCCAUGGAGUAGUGGUCACUGCGCUCGCUUUGCACGCGGGAGACCCGGGUUCGAUUCCCGGCGGGGUCA
rfam:Asian citrus Psyllid, Diaphorina citri - Florida Strain, whole genome shotgun sequence.